GAUGAACGCUAGCGGCAGGCCUAAUACAUGCAAGUCGAGGGGCAGCACGGGUAGCAAUACUGGGUGGCGACCGGCGCACGGGUGCGUAACACGUAUACAAUCUGCCUAUAACUGGAGGAUAGCCCGGAGAAAUUCGGAUUAAUACUCCAUAACAUAAUGGUGUGGCAUCACAUUAUUAUUAAAGCUCCGGCGGUUAUAGAUGAGUAUGCGGAUGAUUAGCUAGUUGGUGAGGUAAUGGCUCACCAAGGCUACGAUCAAUAGGGGUACUGAGAGGUUAAACCCCCACACUGGUACUGAGACACGGACCAGACUCCUACGGGAGGCAGCAGUAAGGAAUAUUGGACAAUGGUGGCAACACUGAUCCAGCCAUGCCGCGUGCAGGAUGAAGGCGCUACGCGUUGUAAACUGCUUUUGUACGGGAGAAAACCUAUCUACGUGUAGAUAGCUGAUAGUACCGUAAGAAUAAACAUCGGCUAACUUCGUGCCAGCAGCCGCGGUAAUACGAAGGAUGCAAGCGUUAUCCGGAUUUAUUGGGUUUAAAGGGUGCGUAGGCGGACUUAUAAGUCAGUGGUGAAAUCUCGAUGCUUAACAUCGAACGUGCCAUUGAUACUGUAG
rnacentral:rRNA from 1 species